CUCCAUCAACCCAGUAGCCCCUAAUGUGGAAGGCAGGGCGUCCGCAUUAGCCGCCAGAGGCCGAUGAAAC
rnacentral:pre_miRNA from 13 species